rnacentral:rRNA from 1 species
AGAGUUUGAUCCUGGCUCAGAGCGAACGCUGGCGGCAGGCCUAACACAUGCAAGUCGAACGAACUCUUCGGAGUUAGUGGCGGACGGGUGAGUAACACGUGGGAACGUGCCUUUAGGUUCGGAAUAACUCAGGGAAACUUGUGCUAAUACCGAAUGUGCCCUUCGGGGGAAAGAUUUAUCGCCUUUAGAGCGGCCCGCGUCUGAUUAGCUAGUUGGUGAGGUAAAGGCUCACCAAGGCGACGAUCAGUAGCUGGUCUGAGAGGAUGAUCAGCCACAUUGGGACUGAGACACGGCCCAAACUCCUACGGGAGGCAGCAGUGGGGAAUCUUGCGCAAUGGGCGAAAGCCUGACGCAGCCAUGCCGCGUGAAUGAUGAAGGUCUUAGGAUUGUAAAAUUCUUUCACCGGGGACGAUAAUGACGGUACCCGGAGAAGAAGCCCCGGCUAACUUCGUGCCAGCAGCCGCGGUAAUACGAAGGGGGCUAGCGUUGCUCGGAAUUACUGGUCGUAAAGGGAGCGUAUGCGGACAUUUAAGGCAGGGGUGAAA